CCUACGGGGGUCAGCAGUGGGGAAUAUUGAACAAUGGGCGAAAGCCUGAUCCAGCCAUGCCGCGUGUGUGUAGAAGGCCUUCGGGUUGUAAAGCACUUUCAGUGGGGAAGAAAGCCUUGGGGCUAAUACCCUCGAGGAAGGACAUCACCCACAGAAGAAGCACCGGCUAACUCCGUGCCAGCAGCCGCGGUAAUACGGAGGGUGCGAGCGUUAAUCGGAAUUACUGGGCGUAAAGCGCGCGUAGGCGGUCUGAUAAGCCGGUUGUGAAAGCCCCGGGCUCAACCUGGGAACGGCAUCCGGAACUGUCAGGCUAGAGUGCAGGAGAGGAAGGUAGAAUUCCCGGUGUAGCGGUGAAAUGCGUAGAGAUCGGGAGGAAUACCAGUGGCGAAGGCGGCCUUCUGGACUGACACUGACGCUGAGGUGCGAAAGCGUGGGUAGCAAACAGGAUUAGAUACCCUGGUAGUC
rnacentral:rRNA from 1 species